rnacentral:rRNA from 1 species
AGAAUCAACGCUGGCGGCGUGCCUAACACAUGCAAGUCGCACGAGAAGGUGGAGCAAUCCAUGAGUACAGUGGCGCACGGGUGAGUAACACGUGAAUCAUCUACCUUCGAGUGGGGAAUAACUGAGAGAAAUCUUGGCUAAUACCGCAUAAUACCUACGGGUCAAAGCAGCAAUGCGCUUGAAGAGGAGUUCGCGGCAGAUUAGUUAGUUGGCGGGGUAAUGGCCCACCAAGACGAUGAUCUGUA